rnacentral:rRNA from 1 species
AUACGUAGGUGACAAGCGUUAUCCGGAUUUACUGGGCGUAAAGGGCGUGUAGGCGGUCUUGUAAGUCAGAAGUGAAAUUCCUGAGCUCAACUCGGGCGCUGCUUCUGAAACUGCAGGACUUGAGUGCUGGAGGGGAUAGCGGAAUUCCUAGUGGAGCGGUAAACUGCGCAGAUAUUAGGAAGAACACCAGUGGCGAAGGCGGUCUACUGGACAGUAACUGACGCUGAGGCGCGAAAGCGUGGGGAGCAAACAGGAUUAGAUACCCUGGUAGUCCACGCUGUAAACGAUGAAUACUAGGUGUGGGGGGACUGACCCCCUCCGUGCCGCAGUUAACACAAUAAGUAUUCCACCUGGGGAGUACGGCCGCAAGGUUGAAACUCAAAUGAAUUGGCGGGG